AGCGAACGCUGGCGGCAGGCCUAAUACAUGCAAGUCGAGCGGGUCCUUCGGGAUUAGCGGCGGACGGGUGAGUAACGCGUGGGAACGUGCCCUUUGGUACGGAACAACUGAGGGAAACUUCAGCUAAUACCGUAUGUGCCCUUCGGGGAAAGAUUUAUCGCCAUUGGAGCGGCCCGCGUUGGAUUAGGUAGUUGGUGAGGUAAAGGCUCACCAAGCCUACGAUCCAUAGCUGGUCUGAGAGGAUGACCAGCCACACUGGGACUGAGACACGGCCCAGACUCCUACGGGAGGCAGCAGUAGGGAAUCUUGCGCAAUGGGCGAAAGCCUGACGCAGCCAUGCCGCGUGAAUGAUGAAGGUCUUAGGAUUGUAAAAUUCUUUCACCGGGGACGAUAAUGACGGUACCCGGAGAAGAAGCCCCGGCUAACUUCGUGCCAGCAGCCGCGGUAAU
rnacentral:rRNA from 1 species